GCCAGACUCCUACGGGAGGCAGCAGUGAGGAAUAUUGGUCAAUGGGCGGGAGCCUGAACCAGCCAAGUCGCGUGAGGGAAGACGGUCCUAUGGAUUGUAAACCUCUUUAGGCGGGGAGCAAUGCCGGGCACGUGUGCCCGGAGGGAGAGUACCCGCAGAAUAAGCAUCGGCUAACUCCGUGCCAGCAGCCGCGGUAAUACGGAGGAUGCGAGCGUUAUCCGGAUUUAUUGGGUUUAAAGGGUGCGUAGGCGGGAUGCCAGGGCAGCGGUCAAAUGCGGGGGCUCAACCUGCGUCCGCCGUUGAAACUGGCGUUCUUGAGUGGGCGAGAAGUACGCGGAAUGCGUGGUGUAGCGGUGAAAUGCAUAGAUAUCACGCAGAACUCCGAUUGCGAAGGCAGCAUACCGGCGCCCGACUGACGCUGAGGCACGAAAGCGUGGGGAUCGAACAGGAUUAGAUACCCUUGUA
rnacentral:rRNA from 1 species